UACGUAGGGACCGAGCGUUGUCCGGAUUCAUUGGGCGUAAAGAGCUCGUAGGCGGCCACUCAAGUCGAAUGUGAAACCUCGAGGCUUAACCUCGAGCCUGCAUUCGAUACUGGGUGGCUAGAGUCUGGUAGGGGGAUCUGGAAUUCCUGGUGUAGCGGUGGAAUGCGCAGAUAUCAGGAGGAAUACCGAUGGCGAAGGCAGGUCUCUGGGCUGACACUGACGCUCAUGCACGAAAGCGUGGGGAGCAAACAGG
rnacentral:rRNA from 1 species